UACGUAGGCAGCGAGCGUUGUUCGGAGUUACUGGGCGUAAAGCGUGCGUAGGCGGUGGUCCAAGUCUGGUGUGAAAUCUCCCGGCUCAACUGGGAGGGUGCGCCGGAAACUGGGCCGCUGGAGUACGGGAGAGGCAAGCGGAAUUCCAGGUGUAGCGGUGAAAUGCGUAGAUAUCUGGAGGAACACCCGUGGUGCAGACGGCUUGCUGGACCGUGACUGACGCUGAGACAACGAAGCGUGGGUAGCGAAUGGG
rnacentral:rRNA from 1 species